rnacentral:ncRNA from 2 species
CUGAACGCCCGUGGUGAUUUGCCGCCUAUUGCCGCCACGUAAAACAAGGUGCUAAAACGCGACGCGCCCGGCGGCCA